UAUAAGCACUUGUACUGUGAAACUGCGAAUGGCUCAUUAAAUCAGUUAUCGUUUAUUUGAUAGUACCUUACUACAUGGAUACCUGUGGUAAUUCUAGAGCUAAUACAUGCUAAAAACCCCGACUUCAGGAAGGGGUGUAUUUAUUAGAUAAAAAACCAACGCCCUUCGGGGCUCCUUGGUGAAUCAUAAUAACUUAACGAAUCGCAUGGCCUUGCGCCGGCGAUGGUUCAUUCAAAUUUCUGCCCUAUCAACUUUCGAUGGUAGGAUAGUGGCCUACCAUGGUGGCAACGGGUAACGGGGAAUUAGGGUUCGAUUCCGGAGAGGGAGCCUGAGAAACGGCUACCACAUCCAAGGAAGGCAGCAGGCGCGCAAAUUACCCAAUCCCGAUACGGGGAGGUAGUGACAAUAAAUACUGAUACGGGGCUCUUUUGGGUCUCGUAAUUGGAAUGAGAACAAUUUAAAUCCCUUAACGAGGAACAAUUGGAGGGCAAGUCUGGUGCCAAG
rnacentral:rRNA from 1 species